rnacentral:rRNA from 1 species
AUUGAACGCUGGCGGCAGGCCUAACACAUGCAAGUCGAGCGGAUGAAGGGAGCUUGCUCCUGGAUUCAGCGGCGGACGGGUGAGUAAUGCCUAGGAAUCUGCCUGGUAGUGGGGGAUAACGUCCGGAAACGGGCGCUAAUACCGCAUACGUCCUGAGGGAGAAAGUGGGGGAUCUUCGGACCUCACGCUAUCAGAUGAGCCUAGGUCGGAUUAGCUAGUUGGUGGGGUAAAGGCCUACCAAGGCGACGAUCCGUAACUGGUCUGAGAGGAUGAUCAGUCACACUGGAACUGAGACACGGUCCAGAGUCCUACGGGAGGCAGCAGUGGGGAAUAUUGGACAGUGGGCGAAAGCCUGAUCCAGCCAUACCGCGUGUGUGAAGAAGGUCUUCGGAUUGUAAAGCACUUUAAGUUGGGAGGAAGGGCAGUAAGUUAAUACCUUGCUGUUUUGACGUUACCAACAGAAUAAGCACCGGCUAACUUCGUG